rnacentral:tRNA from 1 species
GUUUAUAGCUCAGUUGGUAGAGCAGUUGACUCUUAAUCAAUUGGUCGUGGGUUCGAGUCCCACUGAACC